UACGUAGGGGGCAAGCGUUGUCCGGAAUCAUUGGGCGUAAAGCGCGUGUAGGCGGCCCGGUAAGUCCGCUGUGAAAGUCCAGGGCUCAACCCUGGAAUGCCGGUGGAUACUGUCGGGCUCGAGUCCGGAAGAGGCGAGUGGAAUUCCUGGUGUAGCGGUGAAAUGCGCAGAUAUCAGGAGGAACACCGAUGGCGAAGGCAGCGAGCUGGGACGAUACUGACGCUGAGACGCGAAAGCGUGGGGAGCAAACAGG
rnacentral:rRNA from 1 species